GCCUGGCUGGCUGAGUCAGUAGAGCAUGUGACUCUUGAUCUCAGAGUUGUGAGUUCAAGCCCCACAUUGGGCG
rfam:Felis catus isolate Cinnamon breed Abyssinian chromosome B2, whole genome shotgun sequence.